UUCUCUUUCACCUGAGGAUCAUAGCUGUUCCUCAGGUGAGGCAAAAGACUGACAAGGGCACAAGCGGACGAGGCCAUUUAUUAUUUGCGUGUCAACAGAAAAGCCUCUUAAAGAAGGCGCAAGGGAUCAGUGAUGAAGAUAGACAGCUGGAGUGGACACCCAUCAUUGCUAUCACUUCUUCUGUAGCCUCCCGUCAUCAUGAUUUUUUUGAGAGGCUGCAGAUCCAUGGCGGUAGUGAACAUUCAGUACGAGACGCAGUAUAAUGGGAUCAGAACCAACGCGUGCUCAUCCGAAGCCUCUGAAAAACCACAGAUGUGAGGAGCGCCACCUCGCUGAAAGUCUUUCGGAACUUAAAUCAACACCAGGCAACAUUACCAGUCGCAGCGCCACCAGAGACGCGUACAGCCCGCCUCCCUUGACUGUUUUCCUGCAUGGCAAAGUGACAUACAGUUCAUCAAUGUAGUCGAAAGUCUGGACGCCGCACCUCAAACUCUACACUCGAGUCCAACAGGAAACAGAAACAGGAGGCAGUUCCUUUCCUUUCCUUAAAUGGCACAGUGUUGGCUGCUGACGAUAGAUGGCAGAGAAGACGUUGGUCAAGUACUGAGCACCUCAGCAGCCAUCACAUCAACACUUCGGGACAAGUGACGCACGGGUGUGGGGUGCCAGGAUGCCUUCUUUGGUCAGUUUGGUAAUCAUUCAGUGGGCUGUCACCCCUCCUCCUCUAAGCUGAGUGACAGGGGGUUCAGAUAAAGGAAUCCACACCUCAUUACCUCAUCUUCACCGGCCGCCCUCUCCACACGGCCAUUUAUCCAGGUAUCCGUGGAGGAGGUGACACAGACGCCUGUACCUGACGCUGCGAGCACCUUGAAGUCCCGGCCGAUCACACAGUCGGAGGAUAUCCUGCAACACUCAACCAACAGAAGAGGACAUAAGCUUCAAAACUCUUAGAUUAUUCACUGGCAUAAAGCCUGAAGAUCAUAUUCAUAAUCUGGAGGGAACAAAGGUCUCCCAAAACAGAGGGGAUAAACACACAAGAAGUUGGACAUGGUGACGAAAAUAUCAAAAUUUUACCUAUCACUGCUACUCACCUCAUCCAACAGCAGCAAGUUUUCAUUAGAUUUUCCAGCUAUCGUAUCAACUUUCUUGCUGCUGGAGAGAAAAUUACUAUUAAAUGUGUACAUAGUCAGAUUUUUAGUGUCAAGUCAUUAGGGAGCUUUAAACUGAGAUGAUCUAAGCUAUGGAAGGAGGUGAAAUAGAGUGGAAAUUAUCAAGUGGCAGCUGAGUUUGGGUCAACACACUGGAAGUUGAUGUGGCAACAAGACUCCCGGAAAUUGAAGUUUGUAUAUUAUCUCCCACAGCUCACCUCAAACACACUAUGUAGGUCAUUUUGGUGGAUACUUUUAAGUGCAAUAUAUUGACUACAGAACUCAUAUAUACUUGUAAAUACAGUAAAACCCCCACAAGUUGGCAUAAUAAUGCUCUGCCUUUACCAAAAUUUCAACUUAGUAAAAUAUCACUAAAAAGACUUAAAGCCCUAUAACAAGGUCAGUCUUCAUUUUCAUCCCCUUCCAUCCUAUUGAGCCUCCCCUUGCAUCUUGGUCUGAGGACAUGAUGCAAAGAAGGGCUCCUGGUUCUGGUAGAAGGUUGGGAGGUUUAGCCUUUGUAACAAGAAAACCUGAUGCAUUCUUAUUUAGUCUCUGCAGUCUGAUCUGUCUUCUUCCUCAAAUACUGCUUCAAAUUUUAUUUUUCUCUAUCUCUUGCAAAAAAAAACAUAGUACAGUAUUUUGAAAGAACAAAAAUAAAAGUACGCAGAUGUGAUAUUUGAGAGAAAGAGUGCAGAUCAAACCACCUGACUUUUCAACCAGAUCCAGAAUCUCUUCUUAGACACUGUCAUAUGUUAUGCUGAGUUUGGCCUGGUGUGACUCAGUUUAGUUAGCACAAUGUCAACUUGCCUUUUUGUUUCAUCUGAUAUGGAAUAAUAACUUACGGAUGUCUUACUGUACUCAAGGAAACUAAAAAUAAAGGAAUUAUGAGUUGGAUUUACAAAA